rnacentral:rRNA from 1 species
UACGUAGGGUGCAAGCGUUGUCCGGAAUUAUUGGGCGUAAAGAGCUCGUAGGCGGUUUGUCGCGUCGGCUGUGAAAACCUAGGGCUCAACCCUGGGAUUGCAGCCGAUACGGGCAAACUAGAAUUCGGUAGGGGAGACUGGAAUUCCUGGUGUAGCGGUGAAAUGCGCAGAUAUCAGGAGGAACACCGGUGGCGAAGGCGGGUCUCUGGGCCGAUAUUGACGCUGAGGAGCGAAAGCGUGGGGAGCGAACAGG